GUGAAACCAGACAGAUUGGAUGUACCACCAAUUAAGGCUACACAGUUUGAGCAGAGGCCUCACCCUUACUCAGCAAAUCAUUUAUUCCUCCUUUAUGGAUUUUCUGGAAUGUUUACCUUGUUUUACAUUUUAUCUUUGUCCUCAACUAGGAUUCUAUUCCUUGAUCCUCUUCACAGUCCAGAUGACCUUGAGUACUGCCUUACUGAGAAUUGGAUAUGAGGUUCAGCAAUAUCUCCCUUUUACCUCCUUUGAAUGUCUCUUAAUCCAUCUUUAUUUAUUUUCUCAUCAGUUAGUAACUGGGCUUGAUUGCCUUAAUGUUGAUAGCUUCCAAACUGGUGUCUCUGCCUCCUGGUAGCAUCUUCUGUGUUGUUGGGACAGUUGUCCUAACAUAGAGGUAGAGCCAAUAAUGACUGAUGCAACUCUUAACUGGCUUCUAACUACUCACAGGAUGAAUUCUGAAUUCAUCAACAUGAAGGCGAUGUACAAGGUCCCUCAAUUGGCUUUUCUCAACAACUUUUUCAUUUGCUACAGUUUUCUACAUAGACCUCUCGAGUCAUUCUGGACUGAUCGUUUACCCAAAUCAUAGUGACGUUGUCAUACCUCUUUGUAGGCUGGUUCCUUCUGGAACAGUGCCCUCGGCGCUCCUUACUUUUCAAAUACCCUCUCCCCUAUGAUCUUGACUUCUGUGAUCUAUCAUCCUAUAAGCCAAACACCUCUAAAGAAAGGUUAGCAGUGCUUUCUCCUGAUCUCAGCAGGUUGAAUCAGCAUUUCUCAGGUUGUUAUUGCUUGUUUAAAUUCUCUUAACUAUUCAGAGCUUCUUGAGGGCACAGGUUCUUGUUGAGUCUUGUACCACUAAGCUGCUAGAAUGUGCCUUGAUGCCUUGCCAAUCCUAAGAAAAAUGGAAUGGGUGACAUGUAGAUGUCUUUAUAAGGUUUGAUAGGUUAUUGAUCUCUGAAUAGUUUUGUAAGCUUGUGCUCUAGAUUAGUACUGUCCAAUAGAAUCUGCAGGGAUGGGAAUGUUCUGCCUUUUGCCAACCAAUGUAGUAGCCACUAACCCUAUAUUACUGUUGCACUGGAAAUGUGGCUAGUGUGACUAAAGAACUGAAUUUUCAACUUUAUGUAAUUUAAAUUGCCACAGUAUAAAUUGUAGCUGUAGCCACAAACUUGUGUUGUGGGUUGCUGAAUACUUAAUGUGAAUGUUGAUAACUUUCUCUUCAUGCUGAGCACUAAGGAAGCAAAAGUUGGCCUAUUUAGUUUAUUUUUAUCUUCCCUGCUUGUUUUACCUUUAUCUGUAUACUUUAGCUGUACUUAGCUGAGAGCCAAAUUCAACAAGCCGUUACUUUAAACCUGCCUUGGACAACAGUAUGUUGAGAAAGCAAAGCAGGCGUUGACUAGUUUGGAUUUCAAAAACCAAUGCGUAAUGAAUUUUAGGAAAGUGGGAUUUCAUUAAACCAUAAUAGUGACAGAAGUUUAGCUAGGAAUAGGGACUAUAUCUGAUGCCAAUGAAACCAGGCCUAAAUUUCAGUCCUAUAAGGUUUCGUUUUUGGAGAAACUUCAUCAGAGGAGGCCAGGGCCUAAGUGUCAUAUGCCUGUCACAUGGAAGUUUCAUCCUGAUAAAGUGUAAAUUAAUAGAUAUAUCCUAACACCAAAAUAUUUGAUUUAUCUGCUAAUAUAACAUGUUGUAAAUGACAAUUUUUUUACUUAAAAUGUCUUACACUUAUAAGACCCUUAGGAUGGGAAUCUUAAAACCGGUCAGUGCACACCAGUUACUGUUUACUGCAGACUUCCAGUCCCAUACCCAAAGAUUCUGAAUCCAGUUAAGGCAGAGGGGUGGGAGGCACUGGAAUUCCGUAUCAAGUUCCUUAUUUGCUUCUGAUAUUGGGGACUCAGGGACCACACUGGAUAUACAGCCCCUGGGCUAUAGUACACCUAUAUAUCUGACAAAAAUGGUUACAGUUUCAGAGAGACCUCUAAUAUUUUGUGUGUUCUUUACUUUGUAAUUUUUUCCCUCAACUUUUUUUUUUCCCUUUCAAAAAACUGAAUGAAUGGAAAAACAUGUUGAGACAAUGAGUACUGAUGUUUAAUAAAUUUUGGAAACCUGCAGGUCAGAUUGUUUUUUUUUUGUAAAACAGAUACUAAAUAUUCCAAAUACAUUUUUAAAAAACCAUAGUAUUGCCUUUCUUGUCUGUUUUCCCAAUAAAUGCAUUCCUCAGGGACUUAUUUUUGAUUACCCAAUGCCUGGACACAGAGCUGGGUACUUAAUAAAUGUUGGUUUUAUUAAUUUAUAUGUGAAAUUGGUUUUCAAAUAAUAGCAAAGUCUACAAAACACAGACACAUGUCUCCUUUUAUGGAGAAAUUUUAGGGUCAUACUUAACCCAAGUCUCAUUCUAUUUAUAGAAGAGACUACUGCAUCAUGGUCUCUGAAUGCAUCUGUCCACUGUUGAGCUCUUCCUUGGGUUUCCUGUAUAAACCAUUGCACUUAUCCUCUUCCUGUGCUUCACUUCCUUUGGCUUUAUUUUUUAAUAAACCAGCUAUCUAUCUCCUUUUGUAAUAGAGCCAUGUUCUGUGUUUGUUUUUUGUUUUUGUUUUUUUACAGAGCAUGUGAGCAGGAGAGAGGGGCAGAGGAAGAGAGAGAAUCUUAGGGUCCACUUUCAGCACGAAGCCUGAUGCAGUGCUUGGGGCUUUAUCCCACAACCCUGGGAUCACCACCUGAGCCAAAAUCAAGAGUUGGAUGCUCAACUGACUGAGCCACCCUAUAUGACCCCAAGCCAUAUUGUUUCUUAUGCUUCUAGGACAAAAGUAUAUUGAACACUUCUUACUUUGAGAAAGUUGAAGGUUUUGUAAAGGCUUUUUACGUUUUUUUAGAUUGGCAAAAUUUGAGCCACAUAAUGUUCCUGCCAUGUAUUUUUUAUGCAAAGAGGUUUGGUAUCAUUAUGCUUUGCAACUGUUAAUCCAGAAUUUGAUAGGGAUCAGCAUCACAAGGAUAAGACUACUUUGACUAUUUUUAGGCCAAUCUUAUGUAGAGCACUUUGGCAGGCUGGGAAUUUUUUGUUAUUUUACCUACUGGCAUACUACUAUAUGCUGGAGGACAUAUUUCAGAAGACUUUUUUUUCCUUAUCCAUGACUCCCCAUUCUUGAUGGAGUGGAGAGAGCACGUGUGCAAGUGUGGGAGUGUCACAGAGGGAAAGAGAAUCCCAAGCAGGCUCCACACUGUCAGCACAGAGCCCUACAUGAACUGCAAGAUGAUGACCUGAGCCAAGAUCAAGAGUCAGACGCUUAACCGACUGAGUCACUCAGGCACCCCUGUAUUUUUUAAAGAAUGGGUCACUGGGUUUAAAAAAUUGUAAGACUACUUGUUCAACCCACACCCACUAUCUAUGUCUAAAAAUGGAAAAAAGAUUAAACAGUAAUAUAUUGCACAGUUCUCAUAGGAAGAAUCAACUGCAAAGAAACUAAGAAAAAGUGACAGAAAUAUCUUAAAGGAUGAGUUACUAUAUUACAUGGGCUGGAGAAACAUUGCACAAUAGCUGAGAAACUUUACAAAGAGCCAUAUACACAGUUGACAUUCCUGAUUGUCUGCUGGUUGAAAAGUAAAAAUCACGGCAGUGCCAUUUUUUUCAACAGUACAUGGUCAUGUUAAACACUGUGUUGCAGACUUGAAGUCUGGGUUAAUACCUCGCCUGUAGAAGUAUAUUUAAGCCUGAGAAACAUGGCUGGGCUUGUUAUUUUGCAUGUAUUUGUCUUGCAUUAGCUAGUCAGAGACUAUUCUGUCAAAGCUUGCAACAAACCCAACAUGUCCUGAACCAGCUGAAGUGUUGAGUAAUUUAAUUAUUUUAUUUUAUUUAGUAAUCUCUACACCAGUGUGGGGCUUGAGCUCACAAACCCUGAGAUGAAAAUUUGUAUCCUCUGUUGACUGAGCCAGCCAGGCAUCCCUUUAACAACUCUUUAAAAUCCUCUGGUUUAUCCUGAUAUUUUCACUAACAGUGAAAAAGCAAAAGUUGGUCAAGCUGCCUGCAUCUCGGCAUUAAUCAAGGCAGUGGCAUCAAACUAUAGUAUUGACUGCCAUGCAUUGGAAGGGGAAGGGGUGGUAGGAGUUUCAGUUUUCCUGUGAAAACAGUAAAAUUAUUUUAUGAAACCUGGACCUGGAGUAUGGAACUUUAUUAUUUUUUUAAUGUGUAAUUUAUUGUCAAAUUGGUUUCCAUACAACACCCAGUGCUCAUCCCAAUAGGUGCCCUCCUCAAUGCACAUCACCCACUUUCCCCUCUCCCACACCACCCAUCAACCCUGUUUGUUCUCAGUAUUUAAGAGUCUCUUAUGGUUUGCCUCCUUCCCUGUCUUAGUAUGAGUACUGAAAUACAAAGUUUGCAUAUAGGACUUCAGCUUCUUGUUUAAAGUACAGUGGUUGUCUUACGAAAAAGCGGUCAUGUGAUUGACUUGCAGGCUGAAUUAGUGAUUUUCUUUUCACAGCAUUUUUACUUCAAUGACUGUCAGAGUUGGCUAUCUGGCUGACAUUUUAAAAAAUUUUUUUAACAUUUAUUUAUUUUUGAGACACAGAGAGACAGAGCAUGAACGGGGGAGGGUCAGAGAGAGAGGGAGACACAGAAUCUGAAACAGGCUCCAGGCUCUGAGCUGUCAGCGCAGAGCCUGAUGCGGGGCUCGAACUCAGAGCGCGAGAUGGUGGCCUGAGCCAAAGUCAAGAGGCCUAACCGACUGAGCCACCCAGGCGCCCCUGGCAGACUUUUUUUUUUUUUUUUAAGUGUAAAGAAGUACCUUUCAAAGAAAACAGUUGACAGCACUUGUCAGUGAUAAACUCUGAAGUGAAAAUUAGAAUUUGGGAAAACUUAUACCCACUAUCAGGAGCUUCUCUUCCUAAUGAUUAAAGGAACUUUGGGUUUUUUUUUUUUUUUUUAAUGAGCUAAGUAGUGAUAUAAAUAUGAUUUGUAGAUAUUAUAAACUGGACCAGGGCUCGGGAGGUUUAUGUAACUCAGUAAACCGGAAUUUCCAAAUGACCAAUACAUGAAAUGACAAAAAAAAGUUGCAAAUAAGUUAACAUAUCUCAACCAAUGGAAUGUGAAGAUAAAAAUCCAGUGCCUUCUAUUAAGGCAGACAUGUAAAUGAGUUGGAAUAAUAUAAAACAGCAUCACUGUCGAAAAUAAAGUUCCUUCUGUGAGUGCA